rnacentral:rRNA from 1 species
UACGGGGGGUGCGAGCGUUAUUCGGAAUCACUGGGCGUAAAGGGUGCGUAGACGGUAUGUUAAGUUCGUUGUUAAAGGCUCCGGCCUAACCGGAGUACCGCAAUGAAAACUGGCGUGCUAGAGGGUGAGAGAGAGAAGUGGAAUUCCCGGAGUAGCGGUAAAAUGCGUGGAUCUCGGGAGGAACACCAAUGGCGAAGGCAGCUUCUUGGCUCAUUCCUGACGUUGAGGCACGAAAGCGUGGGGAGCAAACAGG